UGGAACCGAACUUUCACUGACUAUGGUA
rnacentral:sRNA from 1 species